AGCUAUUUAGCUUAUAUAAAGCAUUUACUUUGAAAGUAAAAGAAAGAUAUAGAUUUAUUAGCUU
rnacentral:tRNA from 1 species